AAUAAAGAAGAGUGACAGUUAGGGUAGUUAGUGGUCAGUUCCGGAAGUUAGUUAGGAGCCACGAGUUAGUUAGAGUUAGUUGAGAAGUAGUUAAAGAGGAUCUCUCAUUACAAAUCAAUUCAUUACAUAUAGGGAUUGUAUUACAUUUUGGAGAUAUAAUAAGAAUUACAGGUUUUUCUAUAACAAUCUCUUCUUUUCUCUCUUCUCUCUUCGUCUAUUCUUCUUCAUCACCAUAGUUGAGCUUAGCUUGCUCUGUUUCAGCUCCUAGUUGGCUAUAGGUCUUUCUACCAAUCAAGUAGCAAAGGUGGGAUAUUUUGGACCAACCCGAUCCUGGGGAUUUCAUGCUUCAUUUUUUGCAAACAAAAAAGGUUAUCCCUUUUCCCAUUCAAGAUUUUACUACUUAUGCAAUAAUGAUCAAUGCAUUGACACAUUUUCUCCAAGUAAUGCACAUAAUAUGAUAGUGUCCAGUGGGAUUGUGGAAAUUCCGUCAGACAUUGGACAAGGUUCAUUUUAGCGAGUUGUUACCUUAAUAAUGCUUUAACCUAUACUAGGUGUAGCUUGAUGUAUGUAUAUUUCAAAUUGGAAUUAGUGUUUCUAGAAAGGUUUAGAAUGGUAACUCCCAAGUGGAUAACUUGAGACGGAAAGACACAGAACCAUUGAUUGCACCGCUGAUCAAGUAGUCUACCGCAAAUAAGCCUUUGCGAUUUAAAAGGAUAAUUUUUAGGAAGGCGGAACACUCAUCAAACUCUACUAUGUUGAUAAUUUACACGAGUGGAAUAUGAUGUUGAAAGCAUGCUCAUGAAAGUGAUAACAUAUAGCCACAAAAUUUUGUAUGUUAAGAAAGCACAUACUAAUGAAAUUUAACAAAGCAAAUUAAAAUAAAUAAGAAAGAAAAAGAGAAAGGAAAAGAAAGGCAAAAGAGAGAAGUGAGUUUAACUCAUGAAAAUGCACGAGAAUAUUAUUUAGCAAAUAGGAAAUAGGGAUGGGAGAGUUAUGAUGUAGCAGUCUUCGACUAGAUGAAAGAAACGGAGAGAGGAUGUGCAUAUCAUAGCAAUAAAGGGAAACAUGGAGGGGAUGUUCAAGUCAUAAUAAUUUAGACAAAUAAAGGAAAAUAAAGGAAUGGAUAUGCAUGUCACAGUUAUUUAUACAAAUAAAGGAAAAUAAGGAUAUGCAUGUCAAAGUAAUUUAUACAAGUAUAGAGCGGAAAAGAACCAAAUUCAGAGAAAAAGCUCAUCAUCAGAUAGAAUAUUCAAAGAAAUUGCAAGCCAUAUACAUAUAUCAGCUGGCAGAAGUAUUUGGAAGCAUUGAGUUGGUAUCUUUAGACAAGUUCUUUAUUCUAUCAAAUUUACUACCUUUUGUUAAUAGUGAAGAUUGUAUAGGCAGUAGUUUGUGUAUAAGCUGUAUCUGAAAUUAAAACCUUGUAUAGGCUAUAGUUGAGAAAUCAGUUGUCAAACAGAGUCAAUGAACUGGUCAACAACUCCUACAUUGUAAUGAUCUUUUUUUGGUCAAAUAGAAAUAUAAGUUUACAGAUAAAAAUCCACCUAAGUCAAUUUCAUUAUGGUAAGAGCCUAAGUAUCCUCAGUAGUCCAUACUGUCACGCCCUAUUUUCUCAUGAAAACGGGAUUUUACGUGACAACUCUUUUUCACGAGUAUUAAAAGAUAUGAGUUGCCACUUAAUGAUUUUUGAGGAUCGUUAGGGCACCUAUUUUCAAAUAACUCUGUUUGACUAGUCUGUGUCACUAAAGAUCGAGUAAGGGCUCAAAUUACCUCAAAGAGAAGGUGUUAAGCACUCUUCGAGGUCCAUAACUAUGGGUCUUGAUCAAACAUUAAACUAGGUGGAUUAUGUAAUUAGGCUAGAUGAUCAAAUAAAUAAAAGGAAAUUAGAAGCCGAAGAGUCUUAUUAGAACACGUGAAAAUUGGUACAAAUCUUAGUGACUACCGGGAUAAAACUAUAUUGGUCUAUUUUAAAAGACUAAGUGUAGAUAACAAGUAUAUAAAGGAAAAGGGAGGUCCUAUGUUUUUAUCCUUAAGCCCCGUGCAACAUAAAUAAUACCUUGCAACUCCCAUAAGGCAGGGGUUGCUCACAUUAUUCAGCGAACACAAACUCUCAUCUCCUGCUACCCAGUUACUAUGUUGAAACUUUUUAAUUAAAGACACUCUAUUCAAUUCUAAUUCGUACCCUAUGCGUGCACUACCUAUCCUACACUUAUGGCCCAGGAGGCUUUGGACCUUGGUGGUUCUACACUCAGCUCUAGUAGAAAUGAUAAAACUAGGCGAUGUCCAAAACACGCAAAACUUCACGUAAAGAAAAUUAAAAACCCAAGUUAGCCUUCACACAUAAACGACAAAUGCAAGCGGGCAGUUCAAGCAAUAUAUAAUUUUUGAAUAAAAAUUUAAAGUCCUAUAGGAAAGGUUUCUUGGUGACUCUGGAUUCCAGUAUUAUAUAUGAAACAUAUAGGUUGGUUAAAACAUCGCAAGUCCUAUAGGCAUGAUUUCUACUUGUCUGUGAGAUAAUAAAGCGAUAUGAGUUACGAGAUUACUAAUGCUAAUUUUGUAAAUGUGCACCUUAGGUAGACGUUAAUGUCCUAUAGGCAUGGCUUCUAAUAGUUGGAUGAUCGGAUAACAAGACAACUUUGAGCAUCUACUAAAAACAUUGAUAUGAUAAACCAUUCUUAUGCGCACAACAACAUCCUAUAGGCAAGAUUUCUAACAAUUGACAAGUAAGCUUGAUUUUAUAACACUUUAUUCCUAUAGACAUGUCAUCUAGGCAGGGCAGUACAAUGAAGGAAAUUGUAAAUAGUCGAUUAAAAGAUUAGAAUCUUAUAGUCAUAAUAUCUAGAUGGCAGUGUACUAAAAGUAACAGAAGCAAUUUGACCGAUUGAUUAUAUGAAGUCCUACAAACAUGAUAUCUAAAUUAGCAAAGCACGAGCUAUUUCAUCCUAUAGGCAUAUUGUCUAAGUGUGCACAAUAGUAGACAUGGAAAUAGGUAUAGAAAAUACUUGAACUAACAGACUUUGACUGGUGCACGAGAGUUAGACGUGUUAAGUGAAUUGCGUGUGAUUCCUAUAAGCAUGAUUUCUAUCGGUAUACAGAAAUAAAGCAUGCUAAAUAAAAACAACAAAUAGAGCACAUAGAACCUAUAAAUAUGUUCUCUACCUUUUUAUGUAAGAAGAUACUAUACCCAUUACCCUUUUUCACUAAUUUCCCCAUCAUUCAAUUUUACAACUAUUCUUUAAAUAAUUUCAUGCCCAAAUAAAAAUAUAGGAUAACCGAAUAAUACAUCUAGUCUUUCAGAUUGGCUUAGGACUUCAAGCGAGCAACAGGCCCAAAAUCCAAGUGCAGACAGUAUACUUCGAACCCACAAAACCAAAGGUAGGCCCAAUAUACCGGGCCUAAACGAUUAUGAUGAUUAAGCUAAGGGAUACUAAAUUCAUCCACACAGGUAAUAGAACUACUCUUAAACUGUAACUAGCAACCAUUCUUAUUUGGGCAUAUUGGCAAGAUCAUGCUUAAAUUGGAAAAUGUAUGAGACACAUAUGAGGUAAGUUCAUGCUUAUUACCAGAAAUAGAGUUUAAGAGCAACAAUAUUAUUUCAAACAAAGUUUCAAAAUAGGCUUGGUCCAGAACUAUCUUAUAGAGAGUCUCAGGUAAGGGUUUGAACAUGAAAACCUAGUGGUGUCAUAGACAAGAACAUGUGAGAUACAACCUUAGCAUGGGAGCUUUAACAUGAGAUCCUAAUGAGAACAAUUAACUUGCAGACCUUAACAUGUGAAAUGUUCAAGUAAAUACCAAUCACCAUACAAAGAUUUUACAUCCAACAGGUAAGCAUUCAUGAGAAAAGACUGGCUUUCAGGUAAAUAAGGCAAGAAGGCAUCACAUGAAGGAGGAUGAGACUUAUUUUAGUCGACAUAAGGAGAAAUAAAAUAGACAUAUGUUGGAUUUCACCCUAGAAGACUUAAACGAUUAGUAAGCACAUAACAUGUAAGCAAAGAAACAAGUCUGUCCAGGAAUUGUAAUAGUAUUGGCAUAUAUAAUUCAUAUAAACACAAGUUGAUUCCAAAGAUAUAGCAGGUGUACAUGAAAGACUCAUCAAAGAUACAUUCCAAUAAAUUCUGUACAUGCAUUAGUUCCCUAGGAGAUUCUAAGUCAUGAGUUCAUGAUAGGCAACAAUCUUUAAGUAACCAGUUACACUUAAACAUGAAGAUGAUUAAUCAAUCAGGUUGAACAUCUACAAUAGGCAUGCAUUAAGGCUAGUAAUUUCAAGGAAGAGCCCAUUGGGCUAAGCAUUUAGGCAGUGUCAUCACAUGAUUUGUAGAGAAAUAACAUAUGAUGAAUAAGGAUUAAACAUGAAGAAAACAACUCUGAGCAAUGAUAUAGUUUCCAAGAAAUCCGAACAAGAUGUAAUAAACAUCAAAUAAGUCAUGAAUCAGCUUAGCUAACAAUGUGAAAAAUCUGGACUAGAACAGGAUUGAAACUACAUGAUGUCAUUAAAACAAGUAGGUCAGUACAUGAAGUGACAUAACAUUAAAAUCGAAGGAAUCCUAUUAAUGCUAAUACACAUAAUACAAUCAGAGUGAAGUAAGAUUACGAGGGUAUAAAGUACUAACCAGUUGCAAACAAAGUAAACAAAGAAUGAAAACAAAGAAUGGGGAAUCCAAAAUAUGAGGAAAUAUUGUGAUUACUGGAGAAAGAUGAAACCAAUCCCCAGUGCUUUGGAGUUCACUAGAGCCUCGGAGUGGGCUCCGAGCACUGUUUGCACUGGAGUAGGCUAAUGAACAGAAUACAAUGGCCUUGGCUUUUAGUCAGCCAAACAUCAAAGUCAAGGAAUAAUAUAGAAUGAGUGAGAGUGGGAGAAUAGCAAUAAUAAAAGUAGUAAAAAAUGAGGUCCAUUUUUGGGGAAUUAGGGUUGGGUUUAUAUAGUGUUGAAAUUGAAUGAACAAAUAUGGAAAAAAUCAAUUAAGCGCAAAUAAGGAAAUAUCACGUGCAAAUCAGAACCAAUAAAGGAGAUGUAGAAUCUCAAACCCUAGUUGGGUCCAAUCGUUUAGAAAUUGAAUCAAAGGUGCAAAUCGCUCCUUGUUGUGCGUAUAUAGAUGGAAUACUGCCUAAAAUCCAAAGAUUCUAAUUAUUCCAGUCCGAUCAUGGAAGUGGUACUUGACAAAGUUAGGCAGGUACAUAUGUGAUACGAUAAACAAAUAAAAAAUAAUGGGAGGAGGAUAAUAAGGUAAGCAGAUCAUAGGUGGAUUCCAUUUCUAAGUCAGAGCCGGAGAGAAAUCAGGCAACAGAUGCUAGUGUUUGUAGAAAAGAGGCGAAUGUUCGAGUGAGUGUAGAGGCACCUGGCUAACAAAAAUGGUUUAUAGGGUUAGGGUGAAGGUUUAUAAGGAGAAGGAGUUGGUUUAUUAUGGACCGUUGAUCAUUUAAUGUCAACAAAAAA
rnacentral:lncRNA from 1 species